GCACAGAGAGAUGAGCCACCCACUGCUGCCGUUUCUCUGGUCCACAAAGAAGUUGUGAAGUGGAUGAUCUGGCAGAAAACUCUAAUUUAGAAUGACCUCUAGCUUCUUCCGUGUGCAUCUCUCCACCACAGCCCCAAUCGCUGUGCCCUCUCCAGCUCCUCCGCUGAUGUAAACACAUUCACGCUGAGAGUCCCAUCUAUCUGGCUGGUGUGAUUACCAACAGGGAUUUCUGUGCUGGGCAAUGGCGUGGAGGGGGUCGGGAUGUUGGUCCGGGGUUUGCAGGAGAUGCGGAUGACCAGGAGGCAGAGGGUUAGCACCAGGCCGAAACACACCCCCAGCACGAAAUAAAGGCCGAAACUCUCCGGGUUUGCUGGAGAUGUUGCCCUUCCUCACGGCCUUGAAAAUAAA